UCAAGAGAGACCCCUAGUGUCGCUUCUCUGACACAACGUCUCGUUCCCUCCAUCAGGGAACGGAGGUUACAUACGUAACCUAGACGAUUUGUUAUGCAUUUCUGUGAUGGAUGAAAUGGCUGAAUAAAAACUUAAGUUGAGUUUUAAAUAAUUUAUUUGAAAAUAAUGUAUAUUGUAAAUCUCUUUUUAUGUGAUCACAACCACAGGUGGAGUUAGCACAUGGCACAGGUAUAACCAUUCUAAAGCAUCAAUGGACUUCUGCCGUGCAGACCCAAACAGCCACUUCAAUGGUACAUGUUCUUUUAGUGGCCUCCUUCCCACUGGAGAUUCUGAUCCACAGCAAUUUGAAAGGAGGAAUGAGUAAAACUGACUGGUGCAGAGAGAAGGAAUGCCCUUGACAAGGACACCAUGGCAGCAAUAUAUGUGGCAGUGAAGAAGUUUCCCAAUGUGUCCAGAGGAGCUUUGGGGUUUGCAGUGAAAUCUAAGAUGGGGGAACUGAGAUGGCUUGAAAAAAAGUAAAUUUUUAGAAAUUUAAAGUAUGUUCGUUGCUUGAUUUUUAUUCAAAUGUGUUACAUACAUGUUCACAUUUUAGACAUCAUAUAAAGAUUUUCUUCAA